GACGAACGCUGGCGGCGUGCCUAAUACAUGCAAGUAGAACGCAGUUGCGAACGGGUGAGUAACGCGUAGGUAACUGCCUCAUAGCGGGGGAUAACUAUUGGAAACGAUAGCUAAUACCGCAUACUGUGAGAUGGACCUGCGGUGUAUUGGUUAGUUGGUGAGGUAAAGGCUCACCAAGGCGACGAUAACGAGCCGGCCGGAGAGGGUGAUUCGCCAAACUGGGUACUAGGCACUGCCCAUACUCCUUCGGGAGGCAGCCGUAGGGAAUCUUUGGCAAUUGACGGAAUGUUGACCCAGCAACGCCGCGUGAGUGGAGAAGGUUUUCUGAUCGUAAAGCUCUGUUGUUAGAGAAGCGGUAACUAACCAGAAAGGGACGGCUAACUACGUGCCAGCAGCCGCGGUAAUAC
rnacentral:rRNA from 1 species